UACAGAGGGUGCAAGCGUUGUUCGGAAUUAUUGGGCGUAAAGCGAGUGUAGGCGGGACCGUAUGUCGGGUGUGAAAGCCCUCGGCUCAACCGAGGAAGUGCGCCCGAAACUGCGGUUCUUGAGUGUCGGAGAGGGUGGCGGAAUUCCCGGUGUAGAGGUGAAAUUCGUAGAUAUCGGGAGGAACACCAGAGGCGAAGGCGGCCACCUGGACGAACACUGACGCUGAGACUCGAAAGCGUGGGGAGCAAACAGG
rnacentral:rRNA from 1 species